rnacentral:rRNA from 1 species
UACGUAGGGCGCGAGCGUUAAUCGGAAUUACUGGGCGUAAAGCGUGCGCAGGCGGUUUUGUAAGCCGGAUGUGAAAUCCCCGGGCUUAACCUGGGAAUGGCAUUCGGGACUGCAAGGCUGGAGUGCGGCAGAGGAGACUGGAAUUCCUGGUGUAGCAGUGAAAUGCGUAGAUAUCAGGAGGAACACCGAUGGCGAAGGCAGGUCUCUGGGCUGACACUGACGCUCAUGCACGAAAGCGUGGGGAGCAAACAGG